rnacentral:ncRNA from 1 species
ACUUCAGCGAUGAAGAGAAGAGUAAUCAGGCGGCAUCGUUCACAGAGAGCUUCGGAAGGGUGAAACGGAGCAGCGGUGCGCCUGAUGAAAAAAGUCUCCGAGCUUCAUACGGAAUUGGGCCCUGCGCCCAAGGAUGCUAUGACGGGAUCUCCCGUUACAGAGAUAGGGUAUAAGCGUAAUGGCCGUACCCGAAGAGGCGGGCAUGGUAACAGGCUCGCGAACAGAGGUGGUACCACGGCGCUGAUUACAGCUCUCGUCCUCAAG